rnacentral:rRNA from 1 species
UACGAAGGGGGCUAGCGUUGCUCGGAAUCACUGGGCGUAAAGGGUGCGUAGGCGGGUCUUUAAGUCAGGGGUGAAAUCCUGGAGCUCAACUCCAGAACCGCCUUUGAUACUGAGGAUCUUGAGUUCGGGAGAGGUGAGUGGAACUGCGAGUGUAGAGGUGAAAUUCGUAGAUAUUCGCAAGAACACCAGUGGCGAAGGCGGCUCACUGGCCCGAUACUGACGCUGAUGCACGAAAGCGUGGGGAGCAAACAGG